rnacentral:rRNA from 1 species
UACGGAGGGUGCAAGCGUUAUCCGGAUUCACUGGGUUUAAAGGGUGCGUAGGCGGAUAGGUAAGUCCGUGGUGAAAUCCUGCAGCUUAACUGCAGAACUGCCGUGGAUACUAUCUAUCUUGAAUGUCGUGGAGGUUAGCGGAAUAUGUCAUGUAGCGGUGAAAUGCUUAGAUAUGACAUAGAACACCCAUUGCGAAGGCAGCUAACUACGCGAUAAUUGACGCUGAUGCACGAAGGCGUGGGGAUCAAACAGG